rnacentral:rRNA from 1 species
AUGCUAGGUGUGGUUGACUGGAACAUGAAAUUUCUCUAUGUUCUACCUGGUUGGGAGGGUUCAUCAUCGGACUCGAGAGUGCUAAAAGAUGCUAUGAGAAUCGAUCACGAAGAUGCAUUUGUUGUACACAGGGGAAAGUACUAUCUUAUUGAUGUUGGCUAUACCAAUGGACCUGGAUUUCUAUCUCCAUUCAGAUCCACUCGGUACCACUUGAAAGAGUGGGUGGCAAGUCAACAACAACCCCAAAAUGAAAGAGAGUUGUAUAACUUGCGCCAUGCUCGUGCUAGAAAUGUUGUGGAGAGAACCUUUGGCUUGUUGAAGAAAAAAUGGGUCAUCUUGCAUUCUUGUUCUUUCUUUGACAUAGAGGACCAGGUAACACAUGUCUAUUUGAUUGUUCAUAUGGGCCAUCAUGUGUUCCUUCUUUGA